rnacentral:rRNA from 1 species
AGCGGCGGACGGGUGAGUAAUGUCUGGGAAACUGCCUGAUGGAGGGGGAUAACUACUGGAAACGGUAGCUAAUACCGCAUGACCUCGCAAGAGCAAAGUGGGGGACCUUCGGGCCUCACGCCAUCGGAUGUGCCCAGAUGGGAUUAGCUAGUAGGUGAGGUAAUGGCUCACCUAGGCGACGAUCCCUAGCUGGUCUGAGAGGAUGACCAGCCACACUGGAACUGAGACACGGUCCAGACUCCUACGGGAGGCAGCAGUGGGGAAUAUUGCACAAUGGGCGCAAGCCUGAUGCAGCCAUGCCGCGUGUGUGAAGAAGGCCUUAGGGUUGUAAAGCACUUUCAGCGAGGAGGAAGGGUUCAGUGUUAAUAGCACUGUGCAUUGACGUUACUCGCAGAAGAAGCACCGGCUAACUCCGUGCCAGCAGCCGCGGUAAUACGGAGGGUGCAAGCGUUAAUCGGAAUUACUGGGCGUAAAGCGCACGCAGGCGGUUUGUUAAGUCAGAUGUGAAAUCCCCGA